UAAUUGUUCAGUGAACUUCAAAUGAAGUGAAUGACGACAGAUCUGACAGAGGUUCUCCCACUGUCACUGCUGGGCUCAUCCAUGGCCAGUGGGGGGGAGUCAAUCUUGGAGCCAGCUGGCAUUGGAUUUAUUGGACAUGGGGGAAGCUUUUGGCAGCUUUUAACAGAAGACAUCCUGAUAUAACCAAAACAUUUCCAUGAGAGCAGUCCAGAAGUGGAGCUGUUGUGCAGC